CCCCAGAACAACACCAAAGCAGAAAAUACUCCUUUCUGUUUGAAAGAGCUCAAGUGAGCUCCCUUCGCCGGGCUGUUUCUUCGCCGACCGGCCACUAGGCUCUGAACCGAGAACGUGUACUCGUUCCUCCAUCUUCAGGCUACCAAACCCAACAAUCGAAAGGCCGAAGCCUUCUCUAUAUUUUCCUGACCAAAGGCCGCAAUAUCCUUCGGCGGCCAACGUCGAAUUCCCGACUUAGCCACCGGCCAACUUACGGCUUUCGUUUCUCACUAUCCUUACGACGAAAAAGGAUCGAGAAACCACCGUUGUGUAGCCUGAUCUACCUCGCACGAGGAAAACUAAGUCGUAGACCUUCGCGGCUAAACACCAUCGCGGAACGACGACCGGAAAACCCCCGACGAACAACUUCCAUUAGUGCUCACUUGGACAAGGGUUCAAAUAAACAAAAGCGUCUGAGUAACCUAUCGCGCUAAGGAAAGAGAAUCAUUGUCUUAAGUAGCAAAACACUGCAAUCAGGUUGAGCUGAUGUGAUGAUGGUGCUGCAAUGAGCGGAGUCUCCAGGGUUGUUAAUAAAUAGUUAACCUGUCUAGAAUAUGUCUUCAUACAUAUGUCUAGCUACUUUCCGCUGCAAGAUGUUGUUGAUGUUAUAGUAUGUUACGUCAUACUUUGAGUCUUAAGAGAAUGGUUUCAUAUGAUGUAUAACUUGAUUAAUGAUAUUAAUUAAGUUUUAUGCUGUCUUUCAUAGACUAUUUUCAAUUGAGUAUUCAUGAAUAAAAAUGACGAGUUUUAUUAAGAUGAGUAAGUGUUACGGCUAUAAAUGACGCCCCUUUUCUUCCCCUUCUUCUUUAACCCCAUCCCUAGUCGUAGAUCACUCGG